rnacentral:rRNA from 1 species
GACGAACGCUGGCGGCGUGCUUAACACAUGCAAGUCGAACGGAAAGGCCCUGCUUUUGUGGGGUGCUCGAGUGGCGAACGGGUGAGUAACACGUGAGUAACCUGCCCUUGACUUUGGGAUAACUUCAGGAAACUGGGGCUAAUACCGGAUAGGAGCUCCUGCUGCAUGGUGGGGGUUGGAAAGUUUCGGCGGUUGGGGAUGGACUCGCGGCUUAUCAGCUUGUUGGUGGGGUAGUGGCUUACCAAGGCUUUGACGGGUAGCCGGCCUGAGAGGGUGACCGGCCACAUUGGGACUGAGAUACGGACCAGACUCCUACGGGAGGCAGCAGUGGGGAAUAUUGCACAAUGGGCGGAAGCCUGAUGCAGCAACGCCGCGUGCGGGAUGACGGCCUUCGGGUUGUAAACCGCUUUCGCAUGUGACGAAGCGUGAGUGACGGUAAUGGGUAAGGAAGCACCGGCUAACUACGUG